rnacentral:rRNA from 1 species
UACGUAGGGGGCAAGCGUUAUCCGGAUUUACUGGGUGUAAAGGGAGCGUAGGUGGCGUGCCAAGUCAGGAGUGAAAACCCAGGGCCCAACUCUGGGACUGCUCUUGAAACUGGCAGGCUUGAGUGCUGGAGAGGUAAGCGGAAUUCCUAGUGUAGCGGUGAAAUGCGUAGAUAUUAGGAGGAACACCAGUGGCGAAGGCGGCUUACUGGACAGUGACUGACACUGAGGCUCGAAAGCGUGGGGAGCAA